AUUUGGUCCUAUCCAAUUUAAAUAAUUACCUAUCUAUCCAUAUUAAAUAUAUCAAAUGGUUUAGAUUAAAUAUUUUUAAAUAUAAAAGCAUUAAUUAAUUGUAUAAAAUUGUAUCAUUUAACAAAUCUAAAAUAAACCUUAAAUCUUAAAUUAACCAUUCAAUAUACAUAAAGUCUAUCUAUUAUAUAUCUCUUAAAUAAUAUAAACUAUACUCAUAAUUUCAAUAUAUUAAACUUAUUAUUAUAUCUUUUACAAUUAUAUAAGAACAUAUUUAAUAUAUAAAUAAAAAACUAAUUAGUCUAAACCUUAAACCUUAACCCGACCCUUGAAACCCUAAAUCCC
rnacentral:lncRNA from 1 species